AUGCCUCCUUUUUGGGCAUAUUCGCCCCUUUUUGCAGUUCUAGUCAUGUGAUUCGCGUCAGUUGCCCACCCUUUUACCCUGCCCAUUGACUUCUUGCUUCACUGGACACUGCUGUUAGGGGGUAUGGAUUCACUUGAAAGAUGAAAGCAUAUUAGAAAGAGAUUAGCAUAGAGUAUGUGUUUUCUUAUAGCUGCAUUCUUUGAGUUUCCCUCCAAUACCAUCUCCAUCAGAUACACGAUGCUUGAGAGGUAUGACUGUUUUACUGUUUUUGGUCGAUAAGA